CUCACAGCAGUGGCCCACUCAGGCCCUUGAGACUUUGGCUUCGGACUAAGAGACCAUUGGAAUCUGUAGUUCUGAGGCCUUCAGACUUGACUUGGAUUGAGCCACGCUUCUGGCCUCCCCGUUUCUCCGGCUUGCAGACGGCUCAUCGUGGGACUUCCCUGUUUCCAUAAUUGGGAGAGAAUUUGGACACAGGCAUGCAUACGGGGAGAACAUCGUGCAUACAGGGAGAACAUCAUGCAUAUGUGAAGACAGCCAUUUACCAGUCGGGGAAAGUAGCCUGGAACAGAGUUUCUCUUCGGAGCACUCAGAGGCAACCCUGUCAAUAUCUCGAUUUCAGACUUCUGGCCUCUAAAACUCUGAGACAAUAAAUUUCUGUUGUUUAAGCCA